GCUCUUCUGCUUCAUUAGUCUAGCCAAAUGUACAUAUUGUAAUUACACCUAUACGUAGCCAUAUUCUACUGCUAUUCAUACUAUUCAUCCUGCACAUACACUUAUUCU